AAAGUACUCCCCCCGUCCCAAAAUUGUUGUCUUAGAUUUGUCUAGAUACGGAUGUAUCAAAUCACAUUUUAGUAUUAGAUACAUCCGUAUCUAGACAAAUCUAAGACAAGAAAUUUGGGACAGAGGGAGUAGUUG
rnacentral:pre_miRNA from 1 species